GGCAACGUAGCUCAGCUGGGGGAGCGUGCGCUGUGCAAAAGCGUAGGCGGCGUCCAUACGCGGGUUCGAAUCCCACCGAAGCUG
rnacentral:tRNA from 1 species